rnacentral:rRNA from 1 species
AGAGUUUGAUCCUGGCUCAGAACGAACGCUGGCGGCGCGUUUCAGGCAUGCAAGUCGAAGGACCUAUUUAAGCUUGCUUUAAUAGGGACUGGCGAACGGGUGAGUAACACGUGAGAAUCUAGCCUGAAGUGGGGGAUAGCCUAUGGAAACAUAGGAUAAUACCGCAUAUGCUGAAAGGUGAAAGAGGCUUCGGCCUCGCUUUAGGGUGAGCUUGCGGUCCAUUAGUUAGUUGGUAAGGUAAUGGCUUACCAAGACCGCGAUGGAUAGCCGGCCUGAGAGGGUGAUCGGCCACAUUGGGACUGAGACACGGCCCAGACUCCUACGGGAGGCAGCAGCUAAGAAUAUUCCGCAAUGGGAGAAAUCCUGACGGAGCGACGCCGCGUGAACGAUGAAGGCAGAAAUGUUGUAAAGUUCUUUUUUAUGGGAAGAAUAAUGAUAGUAGGUAAUGAUUAUCAGAUGACGGUACCAUAAGAAUAAGCUCCGGCUAACUACGUGCCAGCAGCCGCGGUAAUACGUAGGGGGCAAGCGUUGUUCGGAUUUAUUGGGCGUAAAGGACAUGUAGGCGGUUAUAUAAGUGUGAAUUUAAAGGCUAAAGCUUAACUUUAUGUUUGGUUUGCAAACUGUAUAACUAGAGUACAGAAGGGGAGACUGGAAUUCCACGUGUAGGGGUGAAAUCUGUAGAGAUGUGGAAGAAUACCGGUGGCGAAGGCGAGUCUCUGGUCUGUAACUGACGCUAAUAUGCGAAAGUGUGGGGAGCAAACAGGAUUAGAUGCCCUGGUAGUCCACACUGUAAACGUUGCACACUAGGUGUUAGUAGUUUGUUCUACUAGUGCCGUAGCUAACGCAUUAAGUGUGCCGCCUGGGGAGUAUGCUCGCAAGGGUGAAACUCAAAGGAAUUGACGGGGGCCCGCACAAGCGGUGGAGCAUGUGGUUUAAUUCGAUAUACGCGAAAAACCUUACCAGGACUUGACAUUUAAGUGAUCGAUACAGAGAUGUGUCUUCCCUCCGGGGCGCUUAAACAGGUGCUGCAUGGCUGUCGUCAGCUCGUGUUGUGAGAUGUUGGGUUAAGUCCCGCAACGAGCGCAACCCCUACUGUUAGUUGCCAUCAGGUUAAGCUGGGCACUCUAGCAGAACUGCCGGUGACAAACCGGAGGAAGGUGGGGAUGACGUCAAGUCCUCAUGGCCCUUAUGUCCUGGGCUACACACGUGCUACAAUGGGCUGUACAAAGGGUUGCAAGACCGCGAGGUGGAGCCAAUCCCAAAAAGCAGUCCUUAGUUCGGAUUGGAGUCUGCAACUCGACUCCAUGAAGUUGGAAUCGCUAGUAAUCGCAGAUCAGAAUGCUGCGGUGAAUACGUUCCCGGGCCUUGUACACG